rnacentral:rRNA from 1 species
UACGUAGGGAGCAAGCGUUGUCCGGAAUCAUUGGGCGUAAAGCGCGCGUAGGCGGCCUCGUAAGUCCGUUGUGAAAGUCAAAGGCUCAACCUUUGAAAGCCGAUGGAUACUGUGAGGCUAGAGUCCGGAAGAGGCGAGUGGAAUUCCUGGUGUAGCGGUGGAAUGCGCAGAUAUCAGGAGGAACACCAAUAGCGAAGGCAGCUCGCUGGGACGGUACUGACGCUAAGGCGCGAAAGCGUGGGGGAGCGAACAGG